AUUGAACGCUGGCGGCAGGCCUAACACAUGCAAGUCGAACGGUAACAGGAAGAAGCUUGCUUCUUUGCUGACGAGUGGCGGACGGGUGAGUAAUGUCUGGGAAACUGCCUGAUGGAGGGGGAUAACUACUGGAAACGGUAGCUAAUACCGCAUAACGUCGCAAGACCAAAGAGGGGGACCUUCGGGCCUCUUGCCAUCGGAUGUGCCCAGAUGGGAUUAGCUAGUAGGUGGGGUAACGGCUCACCUAGGCGACGAUCCCUAGCUGGUCUGAGAGGAUGACCAGCCACACUGGAACUGAGACACGGUCCAGACUCCUACGGGAGGCAGCAGUGGGGAAUAUUGCACAAUGGGCGCAAGCCUGAUGCAGCCAUGCCGCGUGUAUGAAGAAGGCCAUCGGGUUGUAAAGUACUUUCAGCGGGGAGGAAGGGAGUAAAGUUAAUACCUUUACUCAUUGACGUUACCCGCAGAAGAAGCACCGGCUAACUCCGUG
rnacentral:rRNA from 1 species